GCGCAGGUGGAGGAGGCGCCCAGGGCGGCAGGUGCUGGGGCGCUCACCUGGGGGACAGCGGUGACGAAAACGCCAGUGUUUUAGAGGCAAACGAGGGAUCUGGGAUACGACAUUGACAGGUUAGAGAGUUAGCACUAAUAACGUUAGUCAUAUUAGAGAGUUAUGUGCUAGAGAGAAGUUUGGGGCGUGGGAACUUACGGAGCUCGCCAAACGCAGACCUGCGCUGGUGUUGCCUCAGCUAAAAAUCUGUGUAUUGAGCUGCUUGCCACUGCAAAGAUUAAAUAAAGUCCAAGCUGUUCCGCAUGCCCUUCAAAGCCCUUCGCAAUAGGGCAGGAACUAGGAGGACUCUGUGCCAAAUUAAUGGGGGCCUCAAAAAACUCAGUCAUCAAGAUCGAUAAUAUUUUAACAGUUUUUUUAAAAAAAUCCAAAUCCAUGCCAUAAACUCCUGACUCACUCAUGUCAUUCUAAUCCCAGCCCUGGUUCCAAUAAAACUUUUUUUUUUUUUUUUUUUUUAAAAAAAACAGGUAAGCUGCCUGUGGGCUAUAGUGUGCGAUUUGAGCAUCGCGGCUGUGACCUAUCGGGGGAUGGGGACCUCGGCUGCCUACAGAGGCCAAACCGAGCCUUAAACCGGUGUCGCAGGCCGAGUGUCCUGGGAACGGUUGCCUACCCCAGAGCCUUCUCCCAGCUCCAUCCAAGUAUUGCCAGAAAUCGGAUUUAGGGAUAAAUAUCUUGAUUUUUAAAUACAGAAUUGGGAACACAUCUCAAAAGCCAAACUGAUCCCACGGUUAGUCUAGAUUCAGCCUGCAGGUCGCCCGAUUGUAGUGGCUGAACUAUGCGGUUUCUUAAAUAUGCCCUUCUGUACUUAUCACAGUGUAUUUAGUUUAUGUGCUCCUCCAAUAAAUUGCGAGUUUAUGAGUGGCUCUAUAUUCCUCCGACAGGGACUAUUCCAGAACUUUGAACAUGAUAUUCACAUUUUUCAAAGUCUGGGAAACUCAAUAAUAGAACUGAAAUUAUGGUUCUUCAGCUAAAUGACGAUCUGCAGAGAAGCAAGGUACUAAAGGGCAAGGUGCCUGCAUUUACUCCCUGGACACUCUGUCCCCAAGUUAUCAGGAACAUUGUGUUGCUAAAUCUAUGAGACAUUUUUCAGUCCUAGCCGUACUUGAUUAUUUUGUAGCUAUUUGAUAAUGUUGAACGCUUCUGUAACAUUGAAACUCUCUUGCGCCUUGGAUUUCACAAAUCUGUCCCGCUACCGCCGCCACCCUGGGUGUUUGUUCCUCUUCAUUUGCCUUUCUGUGUAUAGGGGAGGGGAUUUUAUUUCGGAAAAUUUCAAACCUACAGAAAAGUUGAAACAAAAUCAUAGACUCACGUGUACACUUCAACUAGAUUCACCAAUUGUUAACAUUUUGCCAAUUUACUAUAUAUUUUGUAUUUAUAUAUGCACGCAGGUAUUUUUUUUCCAGCAGUUUGAAAAUAAGCUGCAAACUUCAUGACACUUAACCCCACCACACCUCGACAUGUAUCACCCCAAAACAAGAACAUUCCCCCACAUAACUAUACACAAGACCAUAUGUCACAGGCUUGGUUCCCCAGGAAGUCAACUCUGAAAUAGAGAUGAGCCUGCAGAAAGUUCAUUGAGGGAUCCUCCUGGGACUUGGGGGAAGGAGUGAAAGCCAGGGUGCAGUGAAUUCCUUGGCAAGAAAGCCUCAGCCAAGCCAAUGCCAUAGUGUGCAGAAGCUGGAGUGGCCCUUCAGAGCUUCCCUGAAUCCAAACAAGAAGACUGGACCUUUAUAUUCCCAUAGGAACAGGUCACUGCAUGAGGGCUACCUGGGAAAGGGUGUGUGCUCUCAGGCAAAGGAACACUGCAGCUGAGUCCAUUCAAUUCCAAGGACAGCUGAAGUCCUUCAGUCCUGAGGGGGCUCUGAGCAGUGGAUUAGAGCAUUCAUCACAGUUCAUCUAUUUUACCCUCAGAGACACUUCUUGGUUUGAGGAACAGCUCCUCCAGGAUUCUGGAGGGGGCCCUUUCCCUGGGGAAAACAUUAAAGAGGAAGGUCAGGAGACAAAUUAGAGCCCCGACUGCUGCAGCCAGGCCUCAGCUGAUACUCAGUAUUCUCCUCCUCAGGCCUACAUUUCUCUCACUUCUGGUCUCAGUAGCUUAUUUGGUGGCAUGAUGCAGACCCUCAUGUGCAGGUCUGAGCCCCUGGUUUCCAGGCCCUUUUCAGACUGUGGCUGCUGAACUCGUCCUUGUACCAUCAGAACUGGGGAAGAGAAUACCCAAAAUUGGGCAAGAGGCACCCAAACAGACCAUGUGGAAACCAAACACUCCACCUUGCCUCCCACUCUGUAAUAGGAGCCCAUCCCCCUCCUAAAGAUGACUCCUCUCUUAGCUGCAGUCUCAGUGGAAGUGCCCAGGCAGCAACUGUAGCUAAUGUUUCAGUGGGACUCCUGCUAGGUCCUCUGGUGAAAGCAUUCCCCCUUUUGGAAAUGGGAUCUGUAAACCUGGAGAACCCAGAGUGGCAGGACAGGAAGAACAAUUUCCCAGGUGGGUCCCUGGGAGUGAUGUAAGUGGAGAAACCCCAGUCUCCACCCUGUGUCAUCUACUUAUUGGGAACCCAGCAUCACAGAAGUCAUUGACUUGGUGGGGCACAGUGGCUCAUGCCUUUAAUCUCAAUACUUUGAGAGGCCAAGGCAGGUAGAUGGCUUGAGGCCAGGAGUUCAAGACAAGCCCUAGCAGCAUAGUGAAACCCCCAUCUCUACAAAAAAA
rnacentral:lncRNA from 1 species